rnacentral:rRNA from 1 species
UACGUAGGUGGCAAGCGUUGUCCGGAAUUAUUGGGCGUAAAGCGCACGUAGGCGGCUUGUUAAGUCAGGGGUGAAAUCCUGGAGCUCAACUCCAGAACUGCCUUUGAUACUGGCGAUCUCGAGUCCGGGAGAGGUGAGUGGAACUGCGAGUGUAGAGGUGAAAUUCGUAGAUAUUCGCAAGAACACCAGUGGCGAAGGCGGCUCACUGGCCCGGUACUGACGCUGAGGUGCGAAAGCGUGGGGAGCAAACAGG